CAAGAAAUUAUACAACUACAAACCUGAACUUGAAUGCAUUUUUCGAUCCACGGUCAACAUUCUUGGUACAAAUCGUGUGGCAUUUUGACACAUCUCUAGUUAUUAAGUAACAAUUUUUUGGUAUUAUCGAUGAGAAAUGGAAAAAAAAAGGCGAACUUCAAAAAGCUCGUGAAAUCGAUACAAAAAAUAUCGGUGACAUAAAAACAAAGAAAUUUAUAGAGAAUCUACAAAAACAUAUUUGUUUAGAAAAAGUCAUAUAGAACUCAGUGAUACGGAUUUUACUGCUAUUCAAUUCUCGGUUUACGAGUAAUACUAUCAGUCUCUAUACUUUAUAUU